rnacentral:tRNA from 1 species
GCCAGAGUGGCAUAGUGAUUUUAGUGUUGGACUACAACUCUGGAGACCAGGGUUCGAUUCCCAGCUGUGCCA